rnacentral:tRNA from 5 species
GCCGACGUAGCUCAGCUGGUAGAGCAACGGUAUCGUAAACCGUGGGUCACCGGUUCAAUUCCGGUCGUCGGCUCCA